AGCGAACGCUGGCGGCAGGCCUAACACAUGCAAGUCGAGCGAACCUUUCGGGGUUAGUGGCGGACGGGUGAGUAACACGUGGGAACGUGCCUUUAGGUUCGGAAUAACUCAGGGAAACUUGUGCUAAUACCGAAUGUGCCCUUCGGGGGAAAGAUUUAUCGCCUUUAGAGCGGCCCGCGUCUGAUUAGCUAGUUGGUUGAGGUAAUGGCUCACCAAGGCGACGAUCAGUAGCUGGUCUGAGAGGAUGAUCAGCUACAUUGGGACUGAGACACGGCCCAAACUCCUACGGGAGGCAGCAGUGGGGAAUCUUGCGCAAUGGGCGAAAGCCUGACGCAGCCAUGCCGCGUGAAUGAUGAAGGUCUUAGGAUUGUAAAAUUCUUUCACCGGGGACGAUAAUGACGGUACCCGGAGAAGAAGCCCCGGCUAACUUCGUG
rnacentral:rRNA from 1 species